rnacentral:misc_RNA from 1 species
CAACACUUAGAUUGAAAACACCUGUCUAUGCAACAAUGCACAGAGUAUCCAUAUGGAGCAACCAAUCUGGAGCCUGCAUAUCCUAUUUAGCACUAUUUAAUGAAGUUCAAACACCACUUUCCCUCAAAAUAAAAUCACUAAAUGACACAGAUUACGACAAAUACAGUAUAAUCUCUAAUGACCCGUCUGUUCAAUCAGUCAUUAACAUAUACAAAACCACACAAAUGGGGGUCAUCUCAAUGAUUUCUCAAGAGAAGCAUGGCAAUUCAACCAACAAAGAUAGAAGUUGCAUCCCCUUUCACAAACCUUAAACCUGAAUGACUAGGUGGUCAGAUGCAGACUAGUAAGGCGACGGAAUCAGUAAACCCUAAUGGACCGAGAUCCACGGCUUCCUUCUUCCAAAUCACGUGUAGUGUAGGGAGAAGAACGAACCUCUUGUUGAUGUACGCGCAGGGC